CUUAAAUUGAAGAGUUUGAUCAUGGCUCAGAUUGAACGCUGGCGGCAGGCCUAACACAUGCAAGUCGAGCGGAAACGAGUUAUC
rnacentral:rRNA from 3 species